GGGCAAAUAGUGUAGUUGGUUAUCGCGCCCGCUUCGCACUAAUGCGAUAGACGGGUCACGUGAUCUCGGUGCGGGAGGUGCUGGGUUCGAUUCCCAGUUUGUCCA